CCACACGGAGCCCUAGGGCACAGCGCUGCUACGGUUUGGGGAGAUAUUCUGCAUCGGCUUUAGAAAAUUCUAUUGUAUUCCUUAUUUGCGGAUGUUGGAUUUUAGCAAAUAUUUCUGCAGCUGUUAAGAUAAUAAUAUCUGUUAGUGUGAGAAAUGAUAGCCGUUUUAAGCCACAUUGGCCUUCCUGAAACAACCCAGUCUGGUCAUGCUCCACGACGUUUCCCCGCCGCGCUGGACGCGGCCUGUCGCUAUUCCGUCCGGGAGCAGGCGGCGCUGGCUGUGGCGCUGACGUCACGGCUCUGCUAGCUCAUAAAAGGUGAGCCGGUUCUUCUUUCCAGUGUCUGAGUCCACACAAGACUAGAAUUUUCUGUUUCUUGAACUCACACUACCUGACUUGAAUUCUUUGGGGACACACUCUGUGCAGCAGUGACAGGGUCUUUGGGCGGCGCCCUCUCGUGCUGGCUUCACCACCUGCCCUUUCUCCUAAAACCCGCCUCGUACGCGCUCACAUCCACUGGCUCGGUGCGCUGUCUUUUCCUCCGACGACCUGCUGUCACCUUCCCUCUGCAUCCAGAACAGUUUACCGGCUCCUUCCCUUUUCCUGGACUCCAUUGUCACACGAUGCCAGCUUUAACAAUCCGUUUUUCCUUUUUAAAAUUUUAUUAUAGAGAGAGUGCAAGUGGGAUGGAGGGGCUGAGAGAGGGGAAGAGAGCGAGAGAGAGAGCGAGAGAGAGAGAUGGGGGGGGAAUUUCAAGCAGGUUCCACGCUCAGCAUGGAGUCCAAUGCGGGGCUCGAUCCCAUGCCCCUGGGACCAGGACCUGAGCUGAAAUCAAGAGUCGGACACUCAGCUGACCAAGCUGCGCCCAGAAGCCACAACAGUCCUUUCAAACAACCAACUUCUGCCUGUGCAAUUCUCUCGACAGCCCCCACUCCCACUGGUUUUGAUACUUCCGGGCGUGUUACUUGCCCCCUUCUGCUGCUGUUCUUAUGAAGCCGGAGGCCCAGCUAGCCGACUCCUAGCUCGCCCGCUGGCGUCCCCACUGCUGGCUGCAGUGGCUCCCAGAGGUCUGGCAGGUCCUGUUUCAGCGUCCUGGAGGCUGGAGGACUUUAUAACUUUCAUUAUGUAUUUUUUUUCUUUUGAGUCAGGUUAUUGAGAGGGUUUUUGCCCUAGGAUAUGAGUUUCGUUUGAACAACAACAGAAAAACCAUCAAGGCAGAGAUUAAUCUGGGAGAUCUGGCUCUGGGGCAGGGCGGCGGUGUGAUACCACGGUGGCGAACGCAGAACAAACGGCCCAGAACUGCCCCGUCUGCCUCGCCAGAGAGCCAGGAGGCAAAAGUGGCCACUAACCGAGCUGAUGCUGUUGAAAUCAGCCGCGGUCCUACCGGGAGGGGCCCCAAGGGCCAGCGGCACGGGCACCGCUCACGCACGGGAGCUAACAUCCACCUCGCUAAGAACACAACACGUGACGGGAAGCUCUACGCCCAACGUGGGGCUGAACUCAGGACCCCGAGAUGGAGAGUUGCACAAUGUACCAUCUACCGCCUGAGCCAGCCAGGCGCGCUAAGGGCUGACGUUCUUACAACAGUUAGGGGGCGCCGGCCCUGUGCUCGGGACGUCCCGUCCUAACUCACUGGAUCAGGUGAAGCACCAUCAGCAUCCCUGUGUCGUCCCUGAGGAAACCGAGGCAGCACAAGGAGGUUAAAUGAUGUGCCCAAGGUCUCCUAUCUCCACGGUGCCAGUGCCGGCUCAGGACGGCAGCCCCUGGCCCGAGAGCCCGAGCCCUUCACCACCCGCUUCCUCUCCAGAAAUCAAAGCCAGAGAGGGGCGCCUGGGUGGCUCAGUCGGUUAAGCGUCCGACUUCGGCUCAGGUCAUGAUCUCACAGUUCGUGGGUUCGAGCCUUGCAUUGGGCUCUGUGCUGACAGCUCAGAGUCUGGAACCUGCUUCGGAUUCUGUGUCUCCCUCUCUCUCUGUUCCUCCCCUGCUCAUGCUCUGUCUCUCUCCUUCAAAAUAAAUAAAAACAUUAAAAAAAAAAUAAAAAAAAAGAAACCAAAGCCAGAGAAUCAGAGUAUGUUCCUUUAUGGACACCCACCUGCCUGCUGCUGGAGAGGCCGGGGCAAGCCUGCCGUCCUUGGGCUGUGGGGGCGCCUAUCCGGCACGGCCAGGAGGAGGGGAUUUGCCAGAAUGGUCUCCACCUGUCGAUUCCCUUUCUGGGGAUCUGUCCUGCUGGCCCUAAAUGCAGACGAGAUAUUUAUCUCAGCGUGAUUUAUAAUGCCCUAAACCAGAAACAGCCUACGUGCCCUUCUUAGGAAACCGUUAACCCUUCUCGUCAAUGCACCAUUAGGCAGCGGUACCAGUAAGGUGUGCUAGUGGCUGCGGCCUUCAGGAUAACAGAGAAAGCGGGGGUUUCGCUCCCUCGUACGUCACGUGUUGUAACAUACACGUUAUGUAACGAUACGUUACGUAUUAACAUACACAUCCCAGGGUGUUAUAAUACCGUAGUAAAUAAAAACCAAACUAAACUGAA